rnacentral:rRNA from 1 species
GACGAACGCUGGCGGCGUGCUUAACACAUGCAAGUCGAACGGAAAGGCCCUGCUUUUGUGGGGUGCUCGAGUGGCGAACGGGUGAGUAACACGUGAGUAACCUGACCUUGACUUUGGGAUAACUUCAGGAAGCUGGGGCUAAUACCGGAUAGGAGCUCCUGCUGCAUGGUGGGGGUUGGAAAGUUUCGGCGGUUGGGGAUGGACUCGCGGCUUAUCAGCUUGUUGGUGGGGUAGCGGCUUACCAAGGCUUUGACGGGUAGCCGGCCUGAGAGGGUGACCGGCCACAUUGGGACUGAGAUACGGCCCAGACUCCUACGGGAGGCAGCAGUGGGGAAUAUUGCACAAUGGGCGGAAGCCUGAUGCAGCAACGCCGCGUGCGGGAUGACGGCCUUCGGGUUGUAAACCGCUUUCGCCUGUGACGAAGCGUGAGUGACGGUAAUGGGUAAAGAAGCACCGGCUAACUACGUG